CCCUCCUGUAACACACCUGAUUCAAAUCAGCUCACCAGGAAGCGUCAAAGAAACCUGAAAAUGAAAAUAAAACUCUGAAAAUGGAGGAAAGCAGCCCCCAGGACCAAGUUCGGACACCCCUGUCCAAAAGUGGGCGGCCAUUUUGACUUCUACUGCCACUUCCUGUCGACUGAAAAUGGCAAGCGCCUACUGGCUCAUCUUGUGGACGGCACGUGACCAAAACCCAGAAAACAGUGGUUGACCACCUUGAGGAGCCUGUCUGUUUGACAAAGAAGACCACAGAGUAGAAGACCACUGGAUCACUACCAUACGCUUGUCAUGUGAUCAAAAGGUCUCAACACAAAAGCCACCACAGCAUCUACUUUUGUCCGAGGACUCGCCAUCAAUGAAGAGCUCUUGAGCUAAAUACACCUUUAUUCGGCGAUUAACGACGCUCCUCCAUGAGAGGAGUCCGAGGCCCCUUCACUGAAGUCCGACGACUUAACAGCCACUCCGCCUUCAAUCAGGCCUUGUGUCCAGUCUGGCAUGACUGCAGCCUUUCCUCCAAAAUGCCAGUGACAAAAUGGCUGACAUGUCCCAAGAUGGACGAUAUCAACAAUCAGGUGACACGCAGAAACUGACAGCAGCUAGGCUGCACUUUGCCAAAGUGUAUCGAGCCGCCGCCGCCGUCUGAGCGCAGAAUACAAAUUCGUCUACAAUCGAAGGGUUUAGCCAUGUGGAAGAGCAAGCAGGAGGCUCCCUGGCAAUGCCCAUAUGAAUCAACUCUCCUCAUACUCGGUUGGAGCAAAUUACACCAACACGCUAGCAAAAGUGUGCGGUGUUGCGUUGCUGUCCAAACGUGGAUCCCAAAAGUAUUUUGGGUGGGUGGG